UGUACCACCUUGUCGGGUAGCUUAUCAGACUGAUGUUGACUGUUGAAUCUCAUGGCAACAGCAGUCGAUGGGCUGUCUGACAUUUUGGUAU
rnacentral:miRNA from 1 species